rnacentral:rRNA from 1 species
GACGAACGCUGGCGGCGUGCUUAACACAUGCAAGUCGAACGGUGAAGCGCCUUCCUUUUUGGUGGGUGUGGAUGAGUGGCGAACGGGUGAGUAACACGUGAGUAACCUGCCCCCUUCUUCUGGAUAACCGCAUGAAAGUGUGGCUAAUACGGGAUAUUCUGGGUCUGUCGCAUGAUGGGUCUGGGAAAGAUAUUGUUUCGGUGGGGGAUGGGCUCGCGGCCUAUCAGCUUGUUGGUGGGGUGAUGGCCUACCAAGGCGGUGGCGGGUAGCCGGCCUGAGAGGGUGGACGGUCACACUGGGACUGAGACACGGCCCAGACUGCUACGGGAGGCAGCAGUGGGGAAUAUUGCAGAAUGGGCGCAAGCCUGAUGCAGCGACGCCGCGUGAGGGAUGGAGGCCUUCGGGUGGUGAACCUCUUUCGCCAGUGAAGCAGGCCUGCCUCGUUUGUGGGUGGGUUGACGGUAGCUGGAUAAGAAGCGCCGGCUAACUACGU